GCCCACUCCGCUCCCGCCCUCCCUCGCGCGCUGGUCGCCACGCCCACUCCGCUCCCGCCCUUCCUCGCGCGGGUUUGGCCUGGGCGGUGGCGAGGAGACGCGCGGGCCUUCUUUGGUGUCUCUUCCUCCUCCUCCAGAGUCACCGUACUCCGGGCCCCAAAGCGUCUCUUUUUGUCGCUUCCGGCCUGUUUCGCGGCUUUGGGCCCCAGCUCCUCAAACGGUUCAUUGAGAGGGCCGGCGGCUCCCUCAGGAGGAACUCUUUGUUCAAUAUCUCGCCACCUAUUCCUACAGACAUGGCAGUGGAAAAGAAAAGAAAGCACUCACUUACAGUGAUUUAUCAGAUACCGCAGAGGAAUCGGAAACGUUUCAGUUUCUUGCAGAUAUAUUACCAAAGAAGAUUUUAGCUAGUAAGUAUCUGAAAACACUUAAAGAGAAGAGGGAAGAGGAGGAGGAGGAGGAGAAUGACAACGACGAUGAGAGUGAUGACGACGAAGCGGAAUCCUAAACCAAGAAGAAGCGCUUUAGAGAUGAGCCUGGAGAGGACCCUCACGGAUCAGCACCUUUGCUCUGGAGCACUCUUCAGAGACUUCACGUACAUGACGUUCUUUCCUGGCUGAGACCAAGCGUAAUGCACCUCUGCCAUAAAUAGCCAAAAGGAAAGGAACCCAGACAGCAGCUUCUCUUCCCCAGGCCCCCACUGCAGCUGGAGUGGGAGAGGACCACGAAAGGGCUGCGUACCGUGAGACACGGCCAGUCUGCAGGUGUAAGCUAUAGAGGCAAAGACAGCUUUGCUUAACUUUCUAGUUUACAGAUAGAUUUUGAAGAACGUCUAGAUAUCAGUUGUGUAAAUUCACAUAUGUAUGUUUUGAAAUUAGUUCUUGUGAACAGCUAGAUCCUGUUUUAGCUAAAUGUGUAGUCUCUGGGUAGUAUGUUACAUUUGAAUUUUCGUAUUUGAAGAAAAUUUCUGGCUUUGUGUAUGUCCAAAUACUGCAUUUUUUUUUUUAACUGUAAAGAAAUAAAUUUUUCUUUUUUAAAAGCUGUAUAUAUUUUUAUAGUGA